GCUCUAGUAGCUUAAAAUUAAAGCAUUGGUCUUGUAAACCAAAGAUUGUGAACUAAACCUCACCUAGAACU
rnacentral:tRNA from 1 species